rnacentral:rRNA from 1 species
ACGGGUGAGUAAUGUCUGGGAAACUGCCCGAUGGAGGGGGAUAACUACUGGAAACGGUAGCUAAUACCGCAUAACGUCUUCGGACCAAAGUGGGGGACCUUCGGGCCUCACACCAUCGGAUGUGCCCAGAUGGGAUUAGCUGGUAGGUGAGGUAACGGCUCACCUAGGCGACGAUCCCUAGCUGGUCUGAGAGGAUGACCAGCCACACUGGAACUGAGACACGGUCCAGACUCCUACGGGAGGCAGCAGUGGGGAAUAUUGCACAAUGGGCGCAAGCCUGAUGCAGCCAUGCCGCGUGUAUGAAGAAGGCCUUCGGGUUGUAAAGUACUUUCAGCGGGGAGGAAGGCGUUGUGGUUAAUAACCGCGUCGAUUGACGUUACCCGCAGAAGAAGCACCGGCUAACUCCGUGCCAGCAGCCGCGGUAAUACGGAGGGUGCAAGCGUUAAUCGGAAUUACUGGGCGUAAAGCGCACGCAGGCGGUCUGUCAAGUCGGAUGUGAAAUCCCCGGGCUUAUCCUGGGAACUGCAUUCGAAACUGGCAGGCUUGAGUCUCGUAGAGGGGGGUAGAAUUCCAGGUGUAGCGG